UGCGUGUUGUGAUGGCUCCCUCUGAUGGCAGUCGCUGGAUGCUUCAUCCACGUGUAGUGGUUUUCUUUCCUCUGCACACCUCUCAGUACAUACUCCAGCUGGGACAAUCUUUUCAGAUGAACACCCUGUUUUUAUCCCAGUCUGAUAAAUUUUUCUUGAAAAGAGGUCAAACAGGAAAGCAAACCUUCCUCUGCCUGUCUCAGUGCAAUCAUGAAGAUCACGCAAGAUAGUCCCUGUUGGAGUGUGUGUGCUUCAGCAGUGCAGAGCAUUCAAAGGCCAUCAAGCUCCAGAUGAUCCUCAGUGAGGGAUACCGCUCUCUCAGUAUUCAAGAGUCACCCUUCCACAGAGAAGCCCUAGACUGCCCAUCAGUGGAAUAUGAGAGAGCCUGCACCAGAUGCAACUCCUAUAGAAGAGGGAAAUCCUGAACUGACUGAGCGAACUCUCAGAAUUGACCAUGAUUCACAUUUUUACCCUUGACGGAAAAAGGAUUCAAGGAACACAUUACAUUUCUGUUUUAGAAAAAUAAAGUUGUAUUUUUGCAUACCUGAA
rnacentral:lncRNA from 1 species